AGUAUAUUUAUUAAUAAAUAUUUAUUAAAUAAAUAUGUCCGCAUGUGCGGACAAAACUCCUAAUUUUCAUUAUAUUUAGUUAGAUUUUUAGUUAAUUAAUUAAUAAUUGAUUUUUGAAGAUUUUCGUGAUCUAUUUAAAUUUGGUAGAAGAUAUAAAUGUUUUAACAUAUUUUUUAUCACAAUAAGUUUUUUAAAGAUAUUAUAUCCUGUUUUAAUAAAACAAAUAACUAUUAUUGUUGGAAAAGAAAAUUAUAUAGCAAUCAAAUAAUUUAUUUUAAUAAGUUAAUAAAUAUGGAUUAUAUCCCAAUUAUUUGCUCAAAAUAAAUAAAGUAAUUAGUUGACACAUCAAGAACUAUAUAUUAGGAAGAUAAAUCCUAUAUACUGUCAACAAGUAUUAAAAGAGAAUCUUACAUUAAGAGAAUAUUAUGACACGUGAGCUUUCCAAAAUUAAUUUAUUUUGCCAACUUAAAUCACGCGCGAAUGUUUAACCGACUUUGCUCGUUAUAUUUCAUCUUUGCCGUUGAUUAAUUUACACGUCCAACAAUUUGAGACCGUAGGAUCUCUCUGAUAUCCCCGAAAUUUGAAACCGACUCGGGAUACUGGGGUUCUAUAUAAGAAGUGGUCAACUUAUUAUUCCUUUGCACCCAAAUCUCCCGCUAAUUAGGCGAUGGUUCUCUUGUUAGGGUUUGGCCUCGAUUUUUCCCGGCCCUUCAUCGAGUUGCGUUACUUUUGGAGAUUCGUAUUUCUAUAGGGAUGGAAUAAGAGCGGAGAGGGGUAAACGAGAUCUGAUCAAGUCUCGUUGAUCAACAAACCACGACAAGUCCUUGUGUAACUCUUGCACAUGUUUUGUUUGGGCUCUCAAACGGAAAAAGAAAGUAGUUAGGGAUGUAUAUGACCUUUGCCAUGACAGGUGCGCUUGCUUGGCAGGUCACAAACCCUUAAUAAAAAGUGAGUUUUUGUUGUGCGGAGGAUUGGGAGAUGGUACGGGAUUGGUUUAUUUUCUUUCUUCUGCCCGGCUCUCCCUUCCUCCGGUCUGUGUGUGUGUGCGCCUGUGUCUCUCUUUUUACUUUCUUGCUCAUUCAUAUGCUUCUUGCAUACCACGAACAUGCUACUUGCAUACCACGAACAUGCUUCUUGCAUAACCCGAACAUGCUUCUUGCAUACCACAUUAUGCUUCUUGCAUAACCCGAACAUGCUUCUUGCAUGCACGUUAUGCUUCUUGCAUAACAAGAACAUGCUUCUUGCAUACCACAUUAUGCUUCUUGCAUAACCCGAACAUGCUUCUUGCAUGCCACAUUAUAUAUGCUUCUUGCAUACCACAUUAUAUAUGCUUCUUGCAUACACACAUUAUGCUUCUUGCAUACCACAAAGAGUAUCACAGACCCAACUGUGGCAUCAAUUGUGUCUCUCUAAUAUGCGGCUUGCAUAUGAACGAAGAGAAUCACUGAGCAUCACUUGUGCUCUUUAUAAUGAUUCUUGCAUGUGCUAAUGGGAAGAACGAACCUGACAUUGAGCCUUGGAUGACCAAAACGAUGGUUAUUAUCUGUAAAUCUUUUUCUCUCAGAAACAUAUUAAAGAAGUAAAGUGAAAACUAGUCAAAAACUGGGUCAUUGCAUUUUUAGUUAAGUGCGGUUUAUUUUGCGUCCUCCAGUUCAGAUUGGGUACGUGGCUAGGAUUAUAAAGAUAUAUGUAUAAAUAUUAAUGAUCAAAGGUUUGGCUCAAGUAAUUGUUGUUCUGAUGUAUCUGUGGUGUACUGUGGGUAACACUUAAUGUGACUAUGCUUGUUAGUAUUUUUACCAUCGAGUUAUUCUAAAGCGAUGGAUGUGUUUCAAGAAUGGCGGGCAGGACGAUGGAAUCUGAAUCUAUAAAAGCUGAACAGUUGUAAGGAGGUUGAUAUCUGUAUAAUUUGGGUUUGCAAGGAUUUUUCGUACACACUAUUAUCCAACGGUAACGUUUUUGGCCAAGAAAAUACUAAUGUAAAUGUAGUAUAAGGCAUUAAUGCGUUGUUCAUGGCUCUCUUUUUUCCUUUAAUCAUUGCCCUUUUUCUGGUACAGAACUUCAUAUUAUUUGAUGACUAUUGUCUGAAUGUUACUUGUCCUAAUUGCGCAUGCAUGCCUGCCUAAGAUUCCUCUUUCGUGUCAGGUACUUAUUACGUAAUGACCAUCUAAAGUGAGCAAGCCUUCGUCUGUAUAUAUUCUUUUGGAUGCAAACGAGAGACUAAGAAAGUGGACCUAUCAGCUCAGAUGAGAAAGUACAAUCUGCAAGAAAGUUCGGAGGCUUAAGGUGGCUGUAACCUAUUUGGUUCCUUUUGCUCUUUUUUUUUUGUUUAUUCUCUUUUCAAAGAGAUCAAGAAAAACUUAUAGGCUUGGAUGGCAUAGAUAAUAAGGAUACAUGUAUUGUUUUGUGUAGUAGUACUUGAAUGAAACUUGUGGUUGUCUAGGA